UUCUUUGCUUACAGAAUACUC
rnacentral:piRNA from 1 species